rnacentral:rRNA from 1 species
CCUACGGGAGGCAGCAGUGGGGGAUAUUGCACAAUGGGGGGAACCCUGAUGCAGCGACGCCGCGUGGGUGAAGGAGCGUUUCGGCGCGUAAAGCCCUAUCGGCAGGGAAGAAGAAGGACGGUACCUGACUAAGAAGCCCCGGCUAACUACGUGCCAGCAGCCGCGGUAAUACGUAGGGGGCAAGCGUUGUCCGGAGUUAAUGGGUGUAAAGGGGGCGCAGACGGCAGCGCUAGCCAGGAGUGAAAGCCCGGGGCGCAACCCCGGGACUGCUCUUGGAACUGCGCGGUUGGAGUGCAGGAGGGGCAGGAGGAAGUCCGGGGGUAGCGGUGAAAUGCGUAGAUAUCAGGAGGAACACCGGUGGCGAAGGCGGCCUGCUGGACUGCGACUGACGUUGAGGCCCGAAAGCGUGGGGAGCAAACAGGAUUAGAUACCCGAGUAGUC